GCCUGUCUCCAGGGUCUUCAUGAAUCACCAGGCUCAGAAAAGCAGGUGCUGGAGAACCUGCAGCCCAAGUCUACAGCAGUUUAGAUGGCAGCUUUUCCUGGGGGUCAGGAGCCUGCUCUGAAGAUUAGGCCAAGGCCCUGGGGAUACUCAUGGCCCAAUCUAUCUUUUUCCUUCAGUCCGCUCCAGGAUUCAGAUUUCCAACCGUCUGAACUCGGCAUAGAUCAUCAGCAGAUCCAACAAAAGGAGCAUGGGAACCUUUUCUAUCCCUUUCAAACCUCCAACCACUCUGUCCCACACUCUCCUUCAUCUCCUACUUUAAAUGGAAAAAAAUAGACAUUGUUAGCCAGGAAACACCUUCAUUUUCCUUCCAAAUCCACAAACCUAUUUUCAUCUGUGUUUAUCUUUCUUCCCUCUUGUCACAAGGCAGAAGGGCAGCGACCCUUCUCAUGGGGGGAGGCCAGUCUUCCCUUAUGAGUUCCCGAUCCCAUCCCCAGGCCGUCUUAGAGACCCUGCCCCACUACUUAACCCCUCUGCUCCUUGAAUCCUGUCACUGCCUCUCUAACGGGACCUUGCCAUCAGCAUCCGAACAGUGCCUCCUUUCUGACCGCCCCUCUCCACCACAACACACUCUGUCCUCUUCACAGUCAAGCCUUUUGAAGAGCAGACACCUGCUCACACGCGCUGCCUCCACCUCCCCACCUUGGAGUCACCUUCCACUCCUCCCAUUUGGUGAGACUCAGGGGAAGAGAAAGAGAUGCCACCACUUGAUGGGACGAAAGACAAGGUCUCCUCGCAAAAAUCCUGCAAGGUGGGAGACGGAGAUAUUGUCAUCUUUGGAAACAGUCUGCUGCUGGUGCCUUAAUGAUGUUUCAUUCCUGAAGUUACAGAGAAACCUAUUUCAAUGCACUCCUGCUUAGCAGACAGCCUUGGGAAGAGGCACCAGAUAUCUCUUUUUCUGCCUGUGCACAGAGAAGAAGUCAUGAGAAGACACAGCAAGAAGGCAACCAUCUGCAAGCCAGGAAGAGAGCCUUCACCAGAAUCCAACCCAGACAGGACCUUGAUCCUGGACCUCCAGCCUUCAGAACCAUUGUUUAAGCUACUAGUCUGUGAUGUUUUGUUCUGGCAGCCUGAACAACCUAAUACACAGUCUUAAGAGGUAGAUAUCAUCCCCAUUUAUAGGUGAAGAAACUGAGGCUCAGAGAGUUUGACUUUACUAAGAUUGACAGGUAGUAAGCCACUCUGAGCAUGUCCUGGAUGUAGUGCCAUGCCCUGUAAUGCACCAUCCAAUGAGACCAGGAAACAACUGGGCCUUCACUUGACCAGGAUGAUAUAUAGGCCUAUCAUUGAUAUGUUAGUGUGAGCAACAAAUGCCAGAACCAGAUGAUACCAGUUGCAAACAGUAGACCACAGCCAGGAGAGACCAUUUCAUGUCAUGACAUCACCAUCUUGUUUGAGCGAAUGCUGCAGCUACCAUUGUGGGGCAUUGCUAGGGACCAUGUCCUGGCAUGUGGGAAACUACAACUACUGACCCAAUCAAGGAACUCAAUUCACCCUCCUCAAUAUACAGGAUUGGCUGCAUCUCUGGACACAAUCUGGACUUUCUACCCAUUGUACCAUCUGUAAGAGGCAGUGGGGUAAAUAAAAUAUAGAAAUUAAAGAGAAGACCAAAGUAUUGCUUGACAUUAGCAUAAAGUAAGUCAAAUCAAUAAAAAGACAACUCAAAAAUAGGCAAGUUACCUAAAUCCAUACUUUACUCCUUUGAGACAAGCACUUUAUAAACAUUACACUGCUCAGUUAUCAAAAUGGCUGUAUGUACCUGGUAUUGUUGUCAUCCCUUUUUCCCAGAGAAAACUGAAGUAGAGGGAAAUAAGUCUCUGAGGACACAUGGCCAACCAGAGAACCAGGAUCUAGAAAUGCAAGACACAGAAGUGCAGAGCCCAUGCUUCUAACCUUUAAGGACUAUGAAGGAGCAGAGAGGAAUUGGGAUGAGGUGGUCACAGCAGUGGCUGAAGGAAGCUAAAAGAAGGAAAAAUUUCUCCUCCAAAGGAGUAGAACAGUGUUGCUUAGGUCUUAGCCCUGACUACACUUUUCUCAAAACUCUGCACUCAACCUUCCUGCUUAGUUCCUCCUCUUAUCUUGCCCUCAGACUGAUCCGUUCCCAACUGAGUUGACAAAUUCAUGUCCACUCAGAACCUCAAAUGUGACCUUGUUUGCAAACAGGGUCUUUGUAGAUGUAACCAAACUAAGGGAAGUUCAUAGUGGAUUAGAGUGGGCCCUCCCAAAUCCAAUGUUUGCUGUUCUUAAGAAAACACACACACACACACACACACACACACACACAGAUGGAAGAAUGUGUCAUGUAAAAGUGGAGGCACAGAUUUGAGUGAUGUAUCUACAAGGUAAGGGACACCAACGGUUGCCAAGAACCGCCAGGAUCCAGGAGAGAGCCAUGGAACAGUAUCUCCCUCAAAGCCUCCAGUAGAAACUAAUCCUGCUAACAUCUGGACUUUGUACUUCCAGAGUUCACAUCUGUGAGAAAAUAAAUUUCUGUUGUAUUAAGCC